rnacentral:tRNA from 7 species
AGGUAAUUAGUUUAAGAAAAACAUUUGAUUUCGGCUCAAAAGCUUGUGGUUAAAGUCCACAGUUGCUUA